UACAGGGGUCUCAAGCGUUGUUCGGAUUCAUUGGGCGUAAAGGGCGCGUAGGCGGUUCGUACAGUCAGACGUGAAAUUCCUGGGCUCAACCUGGGGGCUGCGUUUGAUACGUGCGGACUUGAGUGCGGAAGAGGGUCGUGGAAUUCCCAGUGUAGAGGUGAAAUUCGUAGAUAUUGGGAAGAACACCGGUGGCGAAGGCGGCGACCUGGUCCGAUACUGACGCUGAGGCGCGAAAGCGUGGGGAGCAAACAGG
rnacentral:rRNA from 1 species